ensembl:lncRNA
CGGGAACCGGAAGUUGUGCGCGGGAGAGACAAGACAGAGCGGUAACACGGCGGACUUUUUGGAAUGUACAUCUUUUCUACUGCUGGUUUUACAAGGCGUACACGGUAAAAAGCAUUACGCUGUUAUUUGUUUAACACUUGUGCACUUUGUGAAAAGAAAUAUGUCGCUGAGAUGAAUAUAUGUGCUAUUGAUAUUAUUUUUUACUUGUUUCUAGUUUUCACGGUGCUCCAUGAUUGCGUACACGGUAAAAAGCAUUACGCUGUUAUUUGUUUAACACUUGUGCACUUUGUGAAAAGAAAUAUGUCGCUGAGAUGAAUAUAUGUGCUAUUGAUAUUAUUUUUUACUUGUUUCUAGUUUUCA